rnacentral:rRNA from 1 species
GCUAGCAGCCAUAUCACUCUACAACUCACAACUGGCAACCUACUGAAGCUAAGUAGGGCUGAACCUGGUCAGUACCUGGUUGGGAGAUCUCCUGGGAAAACCUGUGGUUGCUGCUGGAA